UGUUAAAAAUGUCAUUAAUUUGUAUAGUUAAAAACUGGCGUGAUUGAGGGAAUAAACAAAUAGUGACAGGUUGUGUGUCACAUGUAUCUCAGGAGACAAUUUUUAACAAUAGAAAUGGAUGAAAUUUUUAUCA
rfam:Gossypium raimondii Chr13_contig_1352, whole genome shotgun sequence.